rnacentral:rRNA from 1 species
CCUACGGGAGGCUGCAGUGGGGAAUAUUGGACAAUGGGGGCAACCCUGAUCCAGCCAGGCCGCGUGUGUGAAGAAGGCCCUCGGGUUGUAAAGCACUUUCAGUGAGGAAGAACGCCUGGUGGUUAAUACCCAUCAGGAAAGACAUCACUCACAGAAGAAGCACCGGCUAACUCCGUGCCAGCAGCCGCGGUAAUACGGAGGGUGCGAGCGUUAAUCGGAAUUACUGGGCGUAAAGCGCGCGUAGGUGGCUUGAUAAGCCGGUUGUGAAAGCCCCGGGCUCAACCUGGGAACGGCAUCCGGAACUGUCAAGCUAGAGUGCAGGAGAGGAAGGUAGAAUUCCCGGUGUAGCGGUGAAAUGCGUAGAGAUCGGGAGGAAUACCAGUGGCGAAGGCGGCCUUCUGGACUGACACUGACACUGAGGUGCGAAAGCGUGGGUAGCAAACAGGAUUAGAUACCCUUGUAGUC